AUCGCUUCUCGGCCUUUUGGCUAAGAUCAAG
rnacentral:ncRNA from 6 species